rnacentral:lncRNA from 1 species
CGUUGAGCUGUAGCUCUCUAACUCCUCUGCAAGGCUCAGGAGAUGUGGGAUGCUUUGCUGUUGGCUUGAUAGGAGGAAAUGCUGCUUUCCUGUGAGUGAGUGAAGUUAACCCAAGACAUAGUUUUCAGCACAGAAACACCUUUCCAGCUCUGUUUCAUGGAGAAGAGACCCAACAGCUCCCUGCGAGCUGACCUGAAGCUGCAGGAAUAUUCUGAGGUGGAGUCACGACUAUUAAAGCAAAAACAAGAUGAUGCAAGGACGCAGCUCACUUGGUGUCAGCCUUUCCUGCGGAAACACAAAGAGGGUUUGUUGAUGCCACGUGUAGGCUGCCUCAGGUCGAGUCAUAUUUCUUUCUUUAUGGAGAUGAAGUUAGUCUUUAAGGCACCAGCUCAAAAUGGCCUUUCUUUCAUUACAAAGUUAUUUAGUUACGGCUCCAAAUGUACUAAUUUGGAGGAAAGCCUGAGUCCUCCUGAAGCUGGCAGGACUCCUUGUCAACAUGCACAAAACCCCAGAGCAGAUGGGCACAGAUUUUGGCUAAGCACAGCAGCAGUUGUUGAGUAUUACAGUCUGUCAUCUCAUCCAGGAGCAUCCCAGCAGCUGCCUUUGCUUCUCCCUUUACUGAGAGGUGUCAGUGUGCCUCUCCUUGCACCCAGCAUCGCACUGCUGCCACUGAAGUUUUGAUUUCUAUGGCCAAGAAUGUUUUCUAUUGCAAUCUCAGCUCUUGCUUUUAAAAGCCAUACAGAGAAAUGACAUACAUUCAAGUGUAGACAUGUUUCUUCAACAGCUCAUGCUUGCCCUUCCAUAACUUUCAUGUCCUAAGGAUCAUGGAAAACCUGGUAGUACAUUACUUUCAGUAGGCUGCCAGAAAGAGAGUUCAUUUAGUUUGAUGACAGAUUAAUACUGAUUCACAAAUUAAUUUUGUCUCUUUGUAUAUCAAGGGUGUCCACAACUUAUUUAAUUUGUAAUAAAUAUAAUUAUAGAAAUGAAUGAGCUAUCAAGAUUUUUAAAGUAUGAUCCAUCAAUGUUGGCAUGACUUGUAAUCCUGGUCAUUAUAAAUAAAAU